rnacentral:rRNA from 1 species
GAGGCAGCAGUGAGGAAUAUUGCGCAAUGAGCGAAAGCUAGACGCAGCAACGCCGCGUGGACGAUGAAGGCCUUCGGGUCGUAAAGUCCUUUUCAGAGGGACGAGUGAGGACGGUACCUCUGGAAUAAGUCACGGCUAACUACGUGCCAGCAGCCGCGGUAAAACGUAGGUGGCGAGCGUUAUCCGGAUUCACUGGGCGUAAAGCGCCUGCAGGCGGUCUUGUAAGUGGGAUGUGAAAUCUCCUGGCUUAACUGGGAGGGGCCAUUCCAUACUGCGAGGCUUGAGGGCAGAAGAGGGAAGCGGAAUUCCCGGUGUAGUGGUGAAAUGCGUAGAUAUCGGGAGGAACACCAGUGGCGAAGGCGGCUUCCUGGCCUGCUCCUGACGCUAAGAGGCGAAAGCUAGGGGAGCGAACGGGAUUAGAAACCCCGGUAGUCCUAGCCAUAAACGAUGGAUACUGGGUGUCGGUGGUCCUAACCCCAUCGGUGCCGAAGCUAACGCGUUAAGUAUCCCGCCUGGGGACUACGGCCGCAAGG